rnacentral:lncRNA from 1 species
CGUUUGUGGUGCAGCUCCCCAGUUUCAGCUUCUCCAUCUCUCCAGACCUAACGCUGGGAUUUCAGACAACUUGUCCUUAUGAGGCCAGGGAGUCACACACUAGGGGACACCACCAAGUGCCCUUGGGACGGGUACCACAGAUGGCCCAAAAUAGAGAAAAGUUGGGGCCAGCACUUUUGGGGGGCCUUUUCAGGAGAGGCAAGCUGGGAAAUGCAACCGCUACUCCCGGAGGGAUCCUUCCUGCUGCGCUGAGGUGUGCUCCAAGGGACCCAAUGGCCCUCACUGUAUCUACAAAAUUUAAAUGGCCCUAUUACUAUUUUCCAGCUUUUUCCUCAAGAAUUAAAAAAAAACAAAAAACAAAAAACAAAACAGGUUUGCAAUUAAAUUACUUAAAAUUCUACGGCGCUCCCAUCCCCGUCCCGCGUCUGCCUGAAGCUUCCACGCCGCCCUGCUGCCUGCACACGGGGCUUUUUACACGUGCGGCCGGCAGGGUCUAUGGGGCUGGAGGCGCUCACAUGUCCCCGCCAUCGGUGGGUCCCAGGACGCUGAGGCCACAAGUCCAGUCGGUCACAAGGUCUGUGGAGGCCAAAGGUCCUUUGGAGGCGGGGCUCUUGAAGGGAUCAGGAGGUGCGGGCGGCGUCGGGAGUGGCUGGCCUCGGGCCGGGGUCUUGGCGCCCGCUGCAUGGUUGCGCUGGUGCUUGCGGAGGUGGUCCUUGCGGAUGAAGCUUUUGCCGCAGACGGUGCAGGUGAAGGGCCGCACGCCCGUGUGCGUUCGGUAGUGGUCGAUGAGCUUGGAGCGUUCGGUGAAGCGCUUCUCACACUCGGUGCAGGGGAAGGGCCGCUCGCCCGUGUGCAGCAUGCGAUGGCGGAUGAGGUGCGCGGGGCGCGUGAAGCAACGGCCGCACUCCCCACACCGAAGGGCGC